UGUCUUAAAAUUUGGAGCUUAAUGUUAGCAUUUCCCCUGCCUUAGGUCCUCAGCUCCUCCCAUUAUCCCCCAGGUCCACCCAUAACUAAACUCCCUGCCCUAGAACUAUAAUGAGCCACUCUUACUCACCAUUAAGUCCUACCUAUUUCCCCUUUAGCCCC